AACAUAAGGACGCUGAUAAGGUGACGUUAACCUGCUCUGUGUUGACACAUGAACGGCACUGUAGUCACACAGUGAAGUGGCUGUAUGAGGGUAAAGAUGUGGACAAAGACAUGAAGACAUCAGAGUCUUUUUGCAGCCCCACCAGAACCACCAUGACUUCUCUGAAUCUGUUUACAUCGAGUUUUACUUAUUUAUAUGUGCAGUGACUGAUGGUACCAAAGUGCAGGAGUUUCCCUUCAGAUUUCGACCCUCAGGUGAAAAACCAGGUAAGGAUAGAAUAACAACAACAGAAUCAACAAUAACAGCUUCAAUGGAAAACCGCAUAAGAGCAGGUACCAACACUACUGCCUCUGCAAUCAAUGAUUCUUCAACAGAACUACAAAGCACUUUUUGGUGGUUCAUCAUUGUGGGAGCUGCAGCACUCUUAAUAACUGUUGUUAUUGUUGUUGGACUCAUCAGAUGGAAGAAAACUAAAGGAAAAAAACCCCAGAUGGAUGAAAACACUG